GCGUGGGUGGUCUAACGGUAUGAUUUCGCCCUUCCAAGGCGACGGCCCGGGUUCGACUCCCGGCCCGCGCA
rnacentral:tRNA from 3 species